GCACCCUGGAGGCUGAAAUUCAAGCGGAAUAACAGCACUCCUGCGCCCCUGGCCAUCGCUGCCUGCCUUUUGCUCCUCGUGCUCCCAGGUCUGCGCCUGGAACAGACCCGGUGGUUUCAGGGCUGCCAGCUUGUGUGAUGUUAUCUGCGGUGGUUGGGAGGGUUUUUUUUCCUGAAGUCCAGCUCUGCAGGUCUUGCAAAUCCCUUGGUUUUCUUUGCUGCCCGAAUUGAAGCUGAGUCCUGCCAGGCCGGCUUACAGAGCCGGGGCUGCAACGCACCUUGCGAAGGCUCAAGGUGCCUUCGCCUUUGCUGGCAAGGCACUCGCCAAGCAAAGCCCGGGAUGAUAUUAAACCUUACGGUGCACAGGCCUGGCUCAUACCUCUUGUUUUCCUUGGGGCUCAUUCCUACCAGGUUUUCUACUCUCUGGGAGCCUUUAGGCCCCCACAGCAAGCCGUUUUAUCCUUCAGCACGGACUAGAGCAAAGAAGCAAAACAAGGAAUAAACGUGCUGUGCUGGGGAGGGAGCUGGAAGGAGCCUCGGCGAGCUCCUCCGUGACCCAGCACAUCGCCGAGGCUCACCAGCUUCAUCCUGGUUUCGUUUAAAAUCCGUGCUGAUGGGAAGACACAAUCCAGCAGCCUCACAGCCCCUCGCAUCGCAUCCCUGAUGUUUAUUUUUGAAUAAUAAAAGCGUCCCCUCUGAGGAAGCCCAAACCUGCGCCCCUGCCACCAGCACUACCGGGGUUUGGAUGGAAAGCCACUGCCCUGCGGGGACACUCCCCUAGCAAAAAGACGUGUGGGUCUGGCGUGGUGCUCAGAGGCUGCUUUUUGCUCGGGAUUAGCAGGACCAACGCUAUCUUGCAUCCUUGAAGCUCCCCUAUCCUGUGCUCGUGACCUGCCUCGGCCUCGGAGUAUGAGAAGGACAAACGUGGCUUGGAGAGCGUGACCUGGCUGACUGCGAGAGUCGCAGCGGAGGGUUUGCAACCAGCACGUGACGCCGUUUGCUUUGGCAAAGCCGUCUCCCCUGCUCCAGGUGAUGCCAUCCUCCCUUUUCACGGCUGGCAGGCCUGCAGGAGCUACCCUCAGCAGCACGCCCCGCUUAGUCCCCUGCUGUUCGGCUGGCAGCUAGAGAGGGAGGCGUUUGCGCAGAGGUAACGGGCUGCAUUGCCCUCCGGGGCCGUUUCCUACCUUCCUAAACGCUCUCUCUGCAUUAAACAUGAUGCACGGGACUGGUAAAUAAACCUUUUAAGCAUUUAUGAUGCUGGGCCACGAUGAGCAGCACGGAGCUGCCAGCAAAUGCAGUGAUUGUGGCAUCCGUGCCUGCUGCUGGCGGCGGGGGAGCCCCCUGGGGCUGCUGCUCACCCUCCUGGCAGGGGGAGGACGAGGCAGGGGCCGUUCCUUUCGCGGGGCACGAGUCCUGGGGCCACCCAGCAUCGGUCCCCUUCUCCAUGUGCCUCUGAGUCACGUUCAUCACAGCGUUUAUUUCUGGCUCUGCUGCAAGGCAGCGUCCCGGCUCGGCACCUGAGAGGACGCCGCUUGCAGCCAGGCUUUGUCCCGGUACCUGGAAACGCUUUUGUGCGCCGAGCGGAGCGACUGCCGUGGGGAGGAGCUGCCCUCUUCCCAGGGCAGGGAUGGAUGGGCUGUGACCUACUUUAAUCGCAUCCCCGGCUGCUGUCACGAGGAUGUCUGUGAUCAUGGGGUAGAGGGGGCCUGGGGGGUGCCCCCCAGCUUUGGGGAAUGCAAAUGGGGGAAACGGGGCUUCCCCCAGCAUCUCCCCACGUGUACCCGAUGGUUUUCCAGCACAAACACCAGCGGCACCCGCUCCCUGCCCCAGCCAAAAAGCCCAAACCCCCCAGCUCUGGCCCAACUGGCAGAUUUGGAUGAUUCCCCGAGGGGUGCAAGCCAGCUGUGGGUGCACAGCCGCCAGGUCAGCGGGGUUUGCCCCAAGAUGCCAAGGCAACCGGCGCCGCUUUGCCCACCCUUCCCAAAACAGAGCGACGUUUGCUCAGGCACUCAGCUGUUGCUGCGCAGACGGUGCCGCGUGGUGGGAAUAAACCACAUGAACUGGAAAAGCACUCUGGAAAUGGCCCCGCAGCGCGGGGACGGAGGUGUCACACAGCUGGAAGUGGCUUUAACCCGCGGUGUGCUCAGCACCAGGGGCAAGGGUAAUCCGCAGAGGGUACUGAAAGCACUGCUUGCCCCGCAGGGAUCCGGAGGGGACCCGGGGCCAGGUUUGCACCAACAGGAGCUUAUAUUGCACAAACAGAAAGCUAACCAAACCUGCAGCCCAAAUAUAUCCCCAAAAGCCACACGGAGCACAAAGCAAGCCUGGAAAUGCUGUACUGAGAGAGGAGCUGAGUUUUUCGGGUCUCUGGGCGUCUCUCGGUGGCACACAGCACACAUUUUGUAACCCUUUUACCACAAAGCAGGGCAAAGACCUCAUCAAGCAAACUGGGUCGCUGCUGCAGCGCUUCCCUUCGCCCGAUCCCUAAAAUCAGCCUGGAAACCGGGCAAGUGCAACUGGGGCAGAAGCGGGCCGGGGGCCGGCAGGCAGCGGGAAGCAGCGGCGGCGCAGGCGGCUGAGCAGCAUGUCCCCGUCCCCGUGCUGGAGGCUUUGUUCCUCCUGGCAAAAGCAGGCAGCAGGGGGAAAAUGGUCCAGCGGUGGCCAGCAGCAAGCACCACUGCCUGCACGCCGCAACAAAAGACCUCGCUCGUUAAAAAAAAAAAAAGGGGGGAAAUAAAGCCUAAAACCAUCCCGUCGAUACCACCAGCGAUUGUUAGCCCGGUCAUCAUCUUCACAGCUUCUUUUGCCAAUAAUGACUGCCUUUCUGCCAGCACCAGGGUGGGUGUUAUUUAGGUCAGCUGGGGGCUGGAGCAGCUUCUCUCCCUGCCUGGCAGUGGCUCCUUCGGGGGCACGAGGUGCUUUGGUCCACCCGGAGCUUUUCCCAGCCACGCUCAGCCUGUUGGCAGCGUGGGUUGGAGGGGAUGUGGGCUGCUGCAGGCCACGCUCAGUUCCCAUCACAAGCGUGGUCACUUCUGCAGAAAACACGCCGCGAUACGAAGAUCGAUGCUGUUUACAACACAAUUGUUCUUGAUACCAGAUCCAGGAAGUAAACAAGCUGAGCAUAACAGAAGCACGCUACUGAAUGACACCCGGCCCCUUCCCGGUGCCAAAUCUGGCCCCAGGGUGGGUUCUUUCUGUUGCAAAGGUGCUGCCCUUGUUCUGCCUCCGCAGAGCGUGCUUGGAGCAAAGGCACCACAACCCGGACACCCCAGGGGCCUCGCUCUGCAUCUCCCAAAUCCCCCUUUUGGGCACACAUAACACGGGUGGUGCCGUCACAGCUCGGACAAACACCCCGAGGCCCCGAAGGUGGGAAGUGUGUAAGCUCCCUGGGUACAGAACCACCUGCAGACGCCUGCUCUGAGAUGAGGAAUUUGCAAGAGCGUGCAAAGAGGAGCCAGGGACAGCUCCAGAAGGCAGCACCCCUGGCUUACUGCAUGGUCAGAGCCGGGAGGGAUGUCAAGAAGGUGGCUAGCGCCGGAGAGAGACACGGGAUGGAAAUGUGCAGGAGGAUGUAGGUGGUCGUGUCCCGUGUCACACGGUAACAGCCAUAAACUGCUGGGGUAAUGGACACAGUGCAGGAAGGCAGUGCAAAAGUUCAGGGGUUGUUUUCCCCGAUAAGAGCCCCGGUGAUGGGAGUUUCCUGCUUCUUGCCGAACCAACAUGACUGUCAUGAAAAUCAUCGCUGCGCCAAAGCAAUUAAGGACGCUUGCCUCGUGCGGUUGACUAAGCAGGUCCCCUCUGGUCACAGGUCACUCUGCGUUGCUUCUCAGGAACAAGCCGAGGCUGAUAACGAAGCUCGGGGCUGGGAAACACCUAAUUGCUUAAUAAGCAUCGAAUAUUCCUUUUCUUACAACCAAAGUAUCCCUUUGGAUGAAAAAUUGCAUGAGACCAUCACAGCAUCGACCUGGGGACAAGACCAAGGAGGCCCUGGGGACACCUUUUUGCUGCUGCCUUGAUGUGAGAGCCGUGGGCAGGAUCACACCUCCACAAACAGCACGGCCUCUCCUGGCUGGAGGGCUCACGGAGCCGGGGAUGGAGCCUGAAACCAUCCCGUGGCUCCCAGGGGCAGGACUUGCCUUGCUUGAAUAGCCUGGGGUGCAGUGCUGGGACAGGUCAGGCCUCCUCGACUCUCCCCAUCGAAGCUCAGCAGGACCCCCGGGAGCUGGGAUCGUCCCCCCAUCAGCUGUGUUUUUAAUUAAAGGCCGGACCCAAGGCUGUGCACUGCUUCCCAGACCACAAGCAGCUGUGUCAUCUGUGCAUGAGGCUGCCGAGACAUUUCCCAGCAAAAUCCAAGCGUGCCAUGUCGCUGAGCCACGGGCAGAGCGCGCACAUGCCCCCCACACCGCCUGUACCCAACGAUGGCCACAUUCACUGCGAGCUUCCCUGGGCAUUCUGCAACAAGAAAUAGCAGUGACAAAUGCAGAAAGGCAAGGGCAGGUCUCGGUGUCAUUUCCAGGAAGGCAGAGCUCUUAAAUACACGUGCAAAUUCCAACCUGAGAUCUCCGUGCCUGGGAAAUUACCCGGAGUACUAAACAACCCAUUAGCUCUGACCCUGGCGUAAUUGAAUCUGGAAAUUUAGUAGAGAGCCUGCCUUUCCUCACAGCGUCGAAGAUAAAGCCUAUCAGAUCGCAGAUAAAUUGCUGGCAUUGAGGAAAUCUUCCGCAGUAAACCUCUGUGCUGCGCUCAGAACGUCAGCGGACGUAUUCCCAUGGUGCAGGGCGCAUCAGUCACACAACUCUCUCAGCACAGGUAGUGUUUAAACAGAUGGCAGAUAAGAGUUUGAAGAGGCUGCUGGCUCAGUGCACAGACAAUCCCACUCUUCUGCACAGGAAACGGGGGCUUCUUAAAAACAGGCUUCGUUUUGGUUAUCGUUUUCACGAGAAAAUUAAAAGAUUCUGCUGUUGGGUACGA